UACGUAGGUGGCAAGCGUUAUCCGGAUUUAUUGGGCGUAAAGGGAACGCAGGCGGUCUUUUAAGUCUGAUGUGAAAGCCUUCGGCUUAACCGGAGUAGUGCAUUGGAAACUGGGAGACUUGAGUGCAGAAGAGGGGAGUGGAACUCCAUGCGUAGCGGUGAAAUGCGUAGAUAUAUGGAAGAACACCAGUGGCGAAAGCGGCUCUCUGGUCUGUAACUGACGCUGAGGUUCGAAAGCGUGGGUAGCAAACAGG
rnacentral:rRNA from 1 species